rnacentral:SRP_RNA from 13 species
CUUUGACCCGAACCAGGCAAUGGGCGGGAGCGAGCGCGGUGGCGGAGUUGGGCAAAGGCGGUCUCGUCGCCUGCGGUCGGGCAAGACGCGCCGGCUGCAGGGCCCGCGGCGGAUGGCAC